rnacentral:lncRNA from 1 species
UGGGCAGGGUUUUUAGUACCAUAAAGAGGAGAGUUUGCCAAAGUUCAUCUCCAACUCAGGCAUUCUGGGAUUCAACUGUUUGUUUUGUUUUGUUUUUCCAGGGAUGGGCUUCUUCCUGGACCCUUUUGAAAUAACAAGAACUUCAAGAUGCAGCAGUUACAAAUGGGUACAUUUUCACAGUAUGUACUCCAAACCUCAUGGACCCUGGGUUAGGAAUCCCUCCUGAGACAUUCCGUUUCUCAUUCCUGAGGGUUUAGAGACAGAAUUUAUGCUUCUGUAUCUAUUUCAUGCUGACCAGGUGUGUUGAGUACCCUGAAGUUAGAGGAGUGAAACUCUUGGGCUGCUGAGAUCAAGGCUUAGCAAACACAAAGUUCCCAUACCCUGGGCGGUGCAAAGUGUUGCUAUGGCUUGUUGGAGAGAUCUCAAGAAUCAACACUGAAAAUCACCUCUCCUGACAUCGUGCUUUGUGAAUUGCCAGCAUCCCUCCUUAGGCCCACAUUAGCAGUAAGAGAGUUCACCUGGAUGGAUAUUAUUGCAGCGAACACCAGGGGAAUGAAUAAGAGAUCCACAACUGCUGUCAGUGGAAAGCACAAAAAGGAAAUGAAUCUCAACUAACAGCAAAGGGAGCUCUGGAAGCUGCAUUGCACGUGUACGGCACGAUAAUCAGAGGCCCGUCUGUGAAAUGAUUGCAAGGUUUUGUUCUACCUAGAAAAGUUUCGGAGUUGAGAGGCAGCAUGACAGAGUGGAAAGAGGACGGAUUUUGGAAUUAGACAGCUUGAGGUGAAAAUCCUAUAACACAGAAAAGAUAGUGUGAAUGUCUGGGGCUAUGGGGAAGAUGAACAAGCCAGCUUUUGUCAAGUGCCAGAUACAUAGGUGUCCAGUAAUUGGUAGGUAUUAUUGCCUCUUGUUUGGAUCUAUAAAUUUCAAAGAGAAC